AUAAAAACAUGUGUAGGUAGCCAGCAGAGGUCGCUGUUGUAACAUAACUGCCAUUACUAUAAAAUAUUAGGCUGCCGGUUGGUUAUAUUAGUUCAAAGAAGAAACAAAAAAAUUGAAAUGGGGCUUUUCACAAUUUUACUAAUCAGAUCAAUAUUUUGACUCUUCCAAUAAAUGAUUCAGGUAAAAUAAUAUGUCUUCAGCUUAACAUUUCCCGUCACCACUUUCAUGACUUUCAGUCCUUUUUUCUGGUUUCUUUAGUAUAGCUAUAGAUGAUUCACAGCACAAUCCUAACCAGGACUACUGAUAAGUGGGGCUUUCUCCCAGGUAAGCAAGGUUAGGAUUGCAGCCUCAGACUGCACUCCUAUGGCAGUUGCCUGGAUUUACCUCCAAGCAACAGGCACACAAUUACACUGUGAAUCACCAUAUCCCAAAAUUCCAACCUGCAAAACAGCUAAGAUGUUCCCUUAACUGUGUUUAUCCAAGGGGAAAAAAGGUUUAUCAGAUUUUGCCUUCUUGCUAAUUCACAUUCUUGCAUUAUAAGAAUCAGAAACCGUUUAACACUCUUCACAGGUAUUUUUGCACCAGGAGGGAAGCAGGAAAGGGGAAUCAUACACCUGUAAUGGGAACUUUUCUCUCUCUCUUUUCUUUUUUUAAAUAGCACACUAAUAGGAAGAUGAUGUCCCAUCUGGAGUCUGUGCCUCAGUGGCGUCCCGAGGGUUGCCAGCGCCCGGGGCCGCUUGAAGCGGGCUGCAGAGGAACACGCACAUUAAACUAUCUAACGGCAUCUGUGUCACCCAGGAGAUUGCUGCCGCAGAGAUAAGAAGAGUGGUUCUGUUGUCUGGAGAGGUCUCUUCCUGGUUCGCAUGGAGAAGUCGUUUUCAAUGGAGCCCAUCAACGGAAGCGUGAAACUGUAUUGAGGCAGCACCAUUAAAUAAGUGGACCCGAAGCCUGUUCCCAUGUGGAAAGAAUGUGUGAGGGGGCUGUAGGGCUGUGAGCAUGCGCAUCUCCCGUUAAUGCUUGCAACAGCCGUGCCCCCUCCCCCCCAAAAAAAAUGAGUAUGUGGUUUAAUAGAUCAGUGCUGGUUUAUUUUUGAAAAGGAAUGCUAUGUGGCAAGGAAGGGAGAAGCAGUCUAAAUUAUCUAAGACAAACACAUCUUUCCUCAGUUGACAAACAGAGAAUGUAAGUUCUCCCUGGAAUCUGUAUUUGUUGUGGUUGGAAGGCAGUGUAUUUAAUUAUCUUUGGGAUAAGAUGCACUUUCCAACUGGUUAUUGAGACUGCUGCAGAAUAACAAUGGGGAAAGUGACCUAUGCGCUGUGGCAGAGUAAACACAAAUGAGGACCGACAUGGGGGAGGUGGAGGGAUGACACUCGUUUGUGUGUGUAGAGUAAAAAAUAAAUAGAAUUUCAGCACAAUUUUAUACACUUGCCCUCAUGUGCCAAAUCCACACGAGUCCUUUUUGCCCCAAAGGUGUUGCACAGGAAAUUGGGGCA
rnacentral:lncRNA from 1 species